AGAGUUUGAUCAGUGGCUACAGGACGAACGCUGGCGGCGUGCUUAACACAUGCAAGUCGAACGGUGACCCAGGGCUUGCCCUGGUGAUCAGUGGCGAACGGGUGAGUAACACGUGGGCAACCUGCCCCCGACUUCGGGAUAACUCCUCGAAAGAGGAGCUAAUACCGGAUACGACCACUUCGGACAUCCGAUGGUGGUGGAAAGUUUUUCGGUCAGGGAUGGGCCCGCGGCCUAUCAGCUAGUUGGUGGGGUAAUGGCCUACCAAGGCGACGACGGGUAGCCGGCCUGAGAGGGCGACCGGCCACACUGGGACUGAGACACGGCCCAGACUCCUACGGGAGGCAGCAGUGGGGAAUAUUGCGCAAUGGGCGAAAGCCUGACGCAGCGACGCCGCGUGAGGGAUGAAGGCCUUCGGGUUGUAAACCUCUUUCAGCAGGGACGAAGCGAAAGUGACGGUACCUGCAGAAGAAGCACCGGCUAACUACGUG
rnacentral:rRNA from 1 species